rnacentral:rRNA from 1 species
UACGGAGGGUGCAAGCGUUAUCCGGAUUCACUGGGUUUAAAGGGUGCGUAGGUGGGCAGGUAAGUCAGUGGUGAAAUCUCCGGGCUUAACCCGGAAACUGCCAUUGAUACUAUCUGUCUUGAAUACCGUGGAGGUGAGCGGAAUAUGUCAUGUAGCGGUGAAAUGCUUAGAUAUGACAUAGAACACCAAUUGCGAAGGCAGCUCACUACACAAAUAUUGACACUGAGGCACGAAAGCGUGGGGAUCAAACAGG